rnacentral:rRNA from 1 species
GACGAACGCUGGCGGCGUGCUUAACACAUGCAAGUCGAACGGAAAGGCCCUGCUUUUGUGGGGUGCUCGAGUGGCGAACGGGUGAGUAACACGUGAGUAACCUGCCCUUGACUUUGGGAUAACUUCAGGAAACUGGGGCUAAUACCGGAUAGGAGCUCCUGCUGCAUGGUGGGGGUUGGAAAGUUUCGGCGGUUGGGGAUGGACUCGCGGCUUAUCAGCUUGUUGGGGGGGUAGUGGCUUACCAAGGGUUUGACGGGUAGCCGGCCUGAGAGGGUGACCGGCCACAUUGGGACUGAGAUACGGACCAGACUGCAACGGGAGGCAGCAGUGGGGAACAUUGCACAAUGGGCGGAAGCCAGAUGCAGCAACGCCGCGUGCGGGAUGACGGCCUUCGGGUUGUAAACCGAUUUCGCCUGUGACGAAGCGUGAGUGACGGUAAUGGGUAAAGAAGCACCGGCUAACUACGUG